CCUGUAAGAAACAGGUGUCCUUGACACGUGAGCACAGGCAAUUCUGGACGAUUCCAUCCACACAAAGUCUUUAUGAUGCUGUCUGUCCUCCCAGUCCUCAUCUACUCACUCUGCCCCUGUAGCUGAGGUGUGCCCUGAGGAGCAGUGCAGCUCCCACUAAAGACCCCUUUGUUAUGAGGUGAUAGCUGGUAAAGCUGCAGGCAAGGUCAGAAUCUAUGUCAUGCCAAGGUGACCUGGUGCUGUACAGGGCAGUGGAAAUAUGGCACAUGGGACACAACGGAUGUCAGGACAAAAUAUCUUGAAAGACAAGGUCCUUCUACAAGUGCUCCAAAUGCUGGUUGGCAUGGGUCAUGCCGGGGGUGGCCCAUAAGAUACAUGAAUACGGGAGACAAUUUCCAGUUGAGAGCGGAGUUGGACAACUAUGACAUCGUCCAAAAAACUGUGAAGCACAGUGGAGGAGGGAAUUCAGCAGGACAGACCCCAGACACGUGAAGUGCUCCAGAGACAUCAAAAGAUUAACAAAAAAUGAAGUAAUGAAGUUUGUUGGCUUGCCAUGAAGUUACUCUUCUUGUCUGUAAUUAAAAUUCUACAGCAACUCUGAGAACAUAAUUACAUUAUGCCCCGAACAUAACAUCAAAGGAAACCUG